CCUACGGGGCGCAGCAGUGGGGAAUAUUGGACAAUGGGCGAAAGCCUGAUCCAGCCAUGCCGCGUGUGUGAAGAAGGCCUUCGGGUUGUAAAGCACUUUCAGUGGGGAAGAAAGCCUUGGGGCUAAUACCCUCGAGGAAGGACAUCACCCACAGAAGAAGCACCGGCUAACUCCGUGCCAGCAGCCGCGGUAAUACGGAGGGUGCGAGCGUUAAUCGGAAUUACUGGGCGUAAAGCGCGCGUAGGCGGUCUGAUAAGCCGGUUGUGAAAGCCCCGGGCUCAACCUGGGAACGGCAUCCGGAACUGUCAGGCUAGAGUGCAGGAGAGGAAGGUAGAAUUCCCGGUGUAGCAGUGAAAUGCGUAGAGAUCGGGAGGAAUACCAGUGGCGAAGGCGGCCUUCUGGACUGACACUGACGCUGAGGUGCGAAAGCGUGGGUAGCAAACAGGAUUAGAUACCCCGGUAGUC
rnacentral:rRNA from 1 species